rnacentral:misc_RNA from 1 species
AUAGAGUACACACGUCCGGGCCAGGUGCCUAUACGGCCCGGCCUCGGUUUGGUGAAACUCCACCCUCUGCGAAGAGAUCUUAUAUAAAUACCUUCCGUUUCCUCGGUGGAUCCAUAUCUGCCGACGGAUGUUUAAACCCUUGCUGAGUAUGUGCCGUCAGAGUAAUUAUCAAAUGAAUUA